GCGUAGAGAGAGCAGGUGUUGGUUCCCAUUUCAAAUCUUGAACCUAAAUAACGGGUUUGAAAAUGAUGCUACUCUUGUUCUUACUCUCCAAUUUAGAGGUGAUGAAAUCCCCCGGCCUGUGGAUUAUUUGACCAAGAUGCCACCUGACCUUACAUCCUCUGGCAGAUCCUGAUGGGAGUCGUUACAAAGAGGACAAUAUGGCUUUAUGGUGACUUUCACUGACAUGCAAGGUUUUCAGAGAAAUUUUCAGCAAGCCCAAGUUCAGAGAAAUGGUCCCCUUUGUAUGUCCAAACAGUAAUUUUUUUAAAUCUAAAUUGUGUUGUGAACUGGAGUGCAUUUUCCAGACAAUAUGGGCAAGAGCUCCGGGUGCCUUACUCGUUGACUUUGAAAUAUACAAGGACUGCCCACCUGGAUAUGUAGGUGAUGGCAGAAGGGGAGUCCUGAAUGGGUUUUAUUCCGACAAGGAGGUUCAGGGCUAUUGCUCAUUUGAUUGUUUUUUCAAUGAUGGAGGGGAACUUCAGGCUGUGUAGAUUGUGUGUGUACGGUUAAUGUACGUGAUUAUCUGUAUGUGUGUAUUAUGUCUUUUAAACAAUUAUUUUUGUUUUGAAAUAAAAGUUAUCACUGGUA